UGCUUUCUCUUAAAUAUUUUCUUGCUUUUUCUUCGAUUUCUCACCCAAUUCACAACCGAAUUCUACAAAAUUGGUCUAAAAAUGUCGGCCUCAACUUCUAGAUUCUCCGAGCAUACUCCGAUUGCACCCAACUAGGAGUUCUCACCACUUAUUUCCCACCAAAAUGAUUUAGGACUUGUAAAAGAAGAAGAAAUUCCUUUCUUAACGAAAUUGAACACUCACUGGGCGUUUUCGAUCGUCGGAGAGAGUGGUGAUGUAUCGAUUAGAUUCAUCAGAAAUUUCUAUAAAGGCCAUGAGUGCUUUGACAAGCUCCCAAGCUCUGUCUAGGCUAGGAUCAGCGAUACUAGCUUUCGUCGAGUUGUGGCUACGCUUCCAUUCGUUACUAUGAGGAUGGAUCAUACUUUUGUAUACGCAUUAAUCGAGAGGUGGAUAGACACCACUUAUACCUUCCACACCCCGACCGGUGAGUUGACAAUGUCUCCUCUCCCUUUUGAUGCUAUCACAGAUAUAUACUUCUUGGGUAUCCGUAUCUCCUUUAAUGAUGCCAUUCUCGAUCAGCGCCCUGAUAUCUAUGAGUGCUAUAUUACGAACCUACUUGGGUUUUUAUUGGCAUGCCAGAACACCUGCUGCAUUGCCUACUAGAGCAUUCAUCUCCAUACAGAGGUUUCGUGCCUCAAAAUGCUUGAGAGACUAGGUCUCCUCCUAAAUUAGGGAUCUGCAGCUCUCGCUUAUUUGUAUCAUCAGAUGGACAUUACCAUCCUCAGGAAUAAGAAGAUUUACGGCUUUUAGCAUGUCGUACACGUUUGGGCUUUCGAGUUCGGCCUUCUGGGGGGCUCAUAACCCAUUUGUACGUCAUGGGUCUUCCUUCGCUUAAGUCGUUAGGGCUCGAGCCGGAGUGUUCCAUUAGAGUGGGCCUAAAUUCACAUGCACUACAUGUGGAUCAUCUUCCUAACCUGGGAUAAGGUCCAAAGCAAUUGGCUAGGGGAGUGCCAUCACUAGGAUCCCCACAUACUCUCUGUUGCUAACCUCGAGCAUAGGAGGAUUUUGUUAUCCGGACCUGCCUGUCGGGCAUGGUAUUCAGCCAAAAGGAUUUAUGGGUAGGAGCGAGGCCUUAAUAGACAUCGAGUUCCCUCGCCUCCACCUCUCUCUAUGUUCUAGAUUGUGGAUCUCGCUAGAGAGGAGCUAGCGACAUGUUUUGCAAGAUAUUAUGAGCCCGAGGAUCUCACUAUCCGGUCCCGAAGGACAGACUAUGCUUCCUUUAUUCCUCAAUUAUUGGGGACUGUGCUGUUCGACAAUGACACCAUGAUUCAUUUCAUCAUCCAUUGUGCCCCUGCUACUCCUGAACCAAGCGAGGGGCAAUUUGCCCGAUGCUCCAGGCCAUCCCAUAUCUCAGGUUCCUCUACUAAUGUUGCCUCCGAAGCACCUCCUACAGCCAUAACGGACGUGAUUCUAAGGUUCAAUGAGACCAAUUUAAGCAUGUACACUAAUUGGUCGGUGCUGCGAGGAGACAAUUCUUUAUCCUUGGUGAGGAUUGACGAAGAGACCAUGAGAGCUUGUAAUGGCAGGUGGAUGAGUGAUAACAUCAGAUUGAUGCUAAAAAAUGCAGGAUCGAGACUCUGAUGCUUUAGUUGUAUACCUUGUGGACUUAAGGGAUGGACACCAAUUUAGACGAUAUGAUGAGGGAUUCAAGAGAGAACCCUAGCUUCUUAUUGCUUCUACCCGUUUUUACCAUUUUUCUUUAUAUAGACCUUGAAUCUUUUGAAGAUGUAUAAAAAUUUUAUGCUUUUGGUGUUGAAA